rnacentral:rRNA from 1 species
UACGAAGGGGGGCUAGCGUUGUUCGGAAUUACUGGGCGUAAAGGGCGCGCAGGCGGCCCUCCAAGUCAGGCGUGAAAGCCCCCGGGCUCAACCCGGGAAUAGCGCUUGAGACGUGGGGGGCUUGAGUUCGGGAGAGGGAGAGUGGAAUUCCCAGUGUAGAGGUGAAAUUCGUAGAUAUUGGGAAGAACACCGGUGGCGAAGGCGGCUCUCUGGACCGACACUGACGCUGAGGCGGCGAAAAGCGUUGGGGAGCAAACACGGG